rnacentral:rRNA from 1 species
UAAAGCAAGAAAGGGCGUAUGGGGAAUGCCUAGGCACACUCCGGCGAAGAAGGACGCAGCAAACAGCGAAAUGCGACGGUGAGCGGUAAGCACGUGAAGAGCCGUCGAUAUCCGAAUGGGGGAACCCACACGGAGUCAUAUCCGUGUAUCACAUGUCGAAUACAUAGACAUGAUGAGGCGAGACGCAGGGAACUGAAACAUCUAAGUACCUGCAGGAAGAGAAAAUAAGAAUGAUUUUCUGAGUAGCGGCGAGCGAAAGGGAAAGAGCCCAAACCGAUUUUAGGAUCGGGGUAGUAGGAUCAUCGAGGAAUCUGACAGAGGAUCAUAGAGGAAUCACAUGGGAAGGUGAGCGAGAGAGGGUGAGAGCCCCGUACUCGAAAUGAGAGACUGGAGAGAGAUGACACCUGAGUAGGGCGGGACACGAGAAAUCCUGUCUGAAUCAGCCGGGACCAUCCGGCAAGGCUAAAUACGAGAGAGUGACCGAUAGUGAACCAGUACCGUGAGGGAAAGGUGAAAAGAACCCCGGGAGGGGAGUGAAAGAGAACCUGAAACCAUAUGCCUACAAGAAGUCAGAGCCCGUUAAAGGGUGAUGGCGUGCCUUUUGUAGAAUGAACCGGCGAGUUACUGUAUGGAGCGAGGUUAAGCAGGAUAUGCGGAGCCGAAGCGAAAGCGAGUCUUAAGAGGGCGCGAGUUGCAUGCAGUAGACCCGAAACCGGGUGAUCUAGCCAUGACCAGGUUGAAGUUGGGGUAAAACCCGAUGGAGGACCGAACCGACCCCCGUUGAAACGUUGGCGGAUGAGUUGUGGCUAGGGGUGAAAUUCCAAUCGAACCCGGAGAUAGCUGGUUCUCCCCGAAAUAGCUUUAGGGCUAGCGUCGAGAGAAGAGUUGCGUGAAGGUAGAGCACUGAAUAUGUGAUGGCCCCAUCUCGGGGUACUGAGCAUAAUCAAACUGCGAAUGUCACGCCAACAUGCUCGGCAGUCAGACAGCGGGUGAUAAGGUCCGUUGUCAAGAGGGAAACAGCCCAGACCAUCAGCUAAGGUCCCAAAAUGUAUGCUAAGUGGAAAAGGAUGUGGAGAUGUACAGACAACUAGGAGGUUGGCUCAGAAGCAGCCAUCCUUUAAAGAGUGCGUAACAGCUCACUAGUCGAAUGACUCUGCGCCGAUAAUUUACCGGGGCUAAGCAUACUACCGAAGCUAUGGAUCCCAAGGGAUGGUAGGGGAGCGUUCCAUGAACGGAGAAGUACGACCGAAAGGACGUGUGGAGAUCAUGGAAGAGAGAAUGCCGGUGUGAGUAGCGGAACGUGGGUGAGAAUCCCACGCACCGAAAACCCAAGGUUUCCAGAGGAAGGUUCGUCCGCUCUGGGUAAGUCGGGACCUAAGGCGAGGCCGAAAGGCGUAGUCGAUGGACAACAGGUAGAGAUUCCUGUACCCGUAUAUAUGUGAAGGAAUGACGGAGAGAGGAAGCUGCAGCCAGCGGCUGGAAGAGCUGGUGCAAGCGAGAUAUCGGGAUGGCAGGCAAAUCCACCAUCCGAAACGAGAAGGCGUGAAGCGUACGGAAAGCUACGGCGAGUACGGAAGGCAGUGGAGGAACUUCCAAGAAAAGUUUCUAACGUUAAGUAUAUAUGGCCCGUACCGAAAAUGGACACACAUGGGUGAGGAGAGAAUCCUAAGGUGAGCGAGAGAACUAUAGCUAAGGAACUCUGCAAAAUGACUCCGUAACUUAGGGAGAAGGAGUGCUCAUAGAGAUAUGAGCCGCAGUGAAACGGCCCAAGCGACUGUUUACCAAAAACACAGCUCUCUGCUAAGCCGCAAGGCGAAGUAUAGGGGGUGACGCCUGCCCGGUGCUGGAAGGUUAAGGGGAGGGGUUAACGCAAGUGAAGCCCUGAACUGAAGCCCCAGUAAACGGCGGCCGUAACUAUAACGGUCCUAAGGUAGCGAAAUUCCUUGUCAGGUAAGUUCUGACCCGCACGAAAGGCGUAAUGAUUUGGGC